CAUAGACAUGUGAAGUGGAAGAAUCAUAAUAUGAAGUUAGUCAUCUUCAACAUCAAAGGAUAUAAUCUUAUCCAAGUAAGUUUUCUUUAAAUCAUUUAUGGUUCUUGAUGUUUAUGUAUAAUUUGAUCUUGGAUCAUGCAUAUUAAUCUUUCAUGUAGUAUCAGAGUCACGUUGUAAUAUUAGUAUUACACUAUAAUUUCAAUUUUAGUGUUUGAUUCGUGAUUAUCCUUACCCACUAAAUUUGAAAAGUACGAACCCAAAAAUUCAUCUUUCGAUUCUUUUCCUAAUCUUCUUUUGAAUCGUAAAUACAACAAGACUAUGUUUGGGGUUCAUUUCUUGAGAAGAGAUAAAUUUAAUUAAAACGAUAAAAAAAGAGAGAACUUAAGUAACCUUUCUUUAGUCAAUAUAUUUUUCCUCAUAAAAUGAUCCCAUUCAAGAGAUUGAAAUUGAAACACAUGAAAGUCAAUAAUUAUAAUACAUUUUCUUUAAGUUAGGUGGCCGAAAUUUUUUGAUGAUUAAAUAACCUAUUUAAAUGAGGUUGAUCUUCACAUAAGGAAGGAAUAUGACUAAGUUAUGUAUAGUGAUUCCAUCACUUGUGAUCAAUCAAGUAAGUGGAGUGAAGAAAUGAUGAAAGAGCUUUAAUUUGGUAUAAAAGAAAGACGUUUUGCAUAUUUGCUGAAUUACCAAAGGGUUUUUUUUCAAACUUGUAAGAUGCAAGUCGGUCCUUAAGAGCAAGUUGGACUCCAAUGAUUAACAUCGAAUGGGAUAAAGCUCGAUUGGUCAUUAAAGGGUAUUCAUAAAAGGAUAUCAAUAAAUGUUCUUACCCAACUUCCUUAGGAUCGUAAUGGCCCUCAUAGAUCAUUUUUAUUUAGUGUUGUAGAUCAAAUAGACGUCAAAUUAUUAUUCUUAAUAAUGAUUUACAAGAAGAUGUAUUCAUGACCCAACCAAUAUGUUUUAUUUCUAAGGGUCAAGAACAUCUAUUGCUUAAAAUGAAGGAAUUAUUAUAUUGUAACAUCCCAAGAAUUAAGACUAAAAAUUUUCGUUUUUAAAUUAAUAAAACUAUCAUCCAAAACAUCAUCAUAAAAAUCAUGGAGGAACAAAGUGUAUCAAGAACAUCACAAAACAUCAGAGUAACAUAAAAUGUGGGACGAGGUGGUAUGUGCACUGUAAUCAUCUUGGGCUCUUCCCCUUUGAACCAGAAGUACCUGAAAACAUAAACUGAAAACCGUAAGCACAAAGCUUAGUAAGUUUCCCAAGAUACCACAUACAAUACAUAAUAAACAUAUAACGGGCCCUGCUCGUCAUCGGGUCGCGCCCGACAUUGGGUCUCGUAGGUAUAUAUAUGUAAACAUAUAAACAGAUAAAUACAUAACAGAUGCAAUAAUCACAAAGAUAAAUAGCAUAUAGAAUGGACAUUGGGCCCCGCCCGGUAAUCAUAUAAACAUAUAAACAUAUGCAAGAGUCACACAUACAUCUAACAUUCUAAACAUAUCAAACCAUGUGUCGGCAUUGGUGUCUUCGACCCGCUAAACACAGUGAGGAAGCUCACCUCUAGCUGUUGAAAUGCGCAAAUGAAUCUCGGUCUGUUGGUCUGGAAAAAUCCACGUGCUAACAUCAACAAAAUAAUACCCAAUUAAUAAUUAGAUCUCGACCCACAUGAAGAAUCUAAGCUACUUGACCAAUAUCUAGGGUAAAAGACUUUUUUACCAUUUUCUUACUUGGCCCAAAAUCAAGGCCCAAUCCUUUAACAUUAGAAGCCCAUUAGUGGCCCAUCAUCCUAAAUUGGCCCAAAACCCCUCAUGGGCCCAAGCACAAUAAGGCCCAAAAGCCCAAAGCAGCACCUCUCGUCAUGAACAAUCCUUGAUCAUGUCGUGAGACGUGUCCGAUCCGAAUCUGAGACUCACUCCUGACUCAGACGACUCCGCGGGGACGAUAACUCAUGCUCACGUUGUGAGAUGUUAUGUCUCACGUCGUGAGAACGGUCUUAAGCCAAAACCACCUUUCCAACAUUCUUAAUCCAUUCAACCCUCAAUCUCACCCCUUCCAAAAGUUAAGUAGGACCCUAAUGGUACAUAAAAAUGCUUGCUUUAUGGACAUGCAUGCAUGCACCAUGCAUGUCCCCUCACCAUUUUAGGUCAAAAAGUACAAAUAUGGCAUCAAGUCCUCAUGCAAGCUCUAAUACUCCACCAAAUCCCAUAUCUGAAUGAUAUAAGACUCAAAGGACCAUUUGAAUCCAUAAAGUUGUUAACUUUAUGGAUUUACUCCACUCUAAUCAAGCCAAAACAUAAGAAAAUGGGCCAAAAACCUAGAUCUAGCCAUGAAAUGGAGUAAAAAUUAAGUCUUGAUACUUGAAAUGGUCUAAACAAGAUGAGAAUUGAUGAUGAUGAUGAUCCCAAGCAACUUCCUUUCCAAUAUGAUUCUUCUUCUCUCCUUUUUCUUUCCUUUCCACAAGCAAAAUACCAAAUAACUCAAGGCUACACAAAAUCUAGGGUUUCCAGAGGUUUAGAGGGUGAGAGAGGCUGAGGAUAGGUAACCAUAGCCUCUCAUUCUCUUAAAUACCCAAAAAUUAGGGUUUGGGGUCAUUAUGCCACUCUCACAUCGUGAGACCUUAUGUCUUACAUCGUGAGACUCCAAAGAUGCAGGUCAACGGGUCAAUGGUCACUCACGAUGUGACCCCCAAUAUCUCACGUCGCGAGGAUCCUCAAAAUGCGAAAAUGAAUGAUUGUAGUACCUUAGGCUUCCGAAUGUUACAUAUAUGUGCUAAAACAAACGUCGUAUCAAUGGUAUCUAAAUUCAGCAAAGUCAUAAAGAGGAAUGACUUCAUUAAGAGCUAAUUAGAUCAAUGUAUAUACCUUAAGUUGAGUGGGAGGAACUUUUUCAUGCUUUUUCUAUAUAUAGAUGAAAUUAUAUUGGAAAAUAAAUAACAUGAUAUGUUGAUCAGAACACUUACUAUCACAUCACCUCGAUAUGAAAAUUCUCUAAGAAGCCUCAUGUGUAAUGGGCAUAUAAAUACAUCGAGAAAACUAAAGGAUUUUAGUAUCAUUCCAAAAGGUAUAUAUCGAGUAUGUAGUAGAUCGAUAUAACAUGCACAUUGCUUCCCUUCAGCUGCUUCCAUUGUUAAAGAAGAUACUUUUGGUUUAUUUCAAUACCUAAAAAAUAGAGGCAGAAUGAGAUCAAAUGACUUCAAUAGAUUAUGCUUCAGUAGUUGGAAGAUUUAUAUAUGUCUAUAUUUGUACUCGUCUCAAAAUCACGUGUGUUAUUGGUAUCAUAUGUCAUUAUCAAUCAAAUCACAAUCUAAAUCAUUAAAAAAAAGGUUGCCAAGAAAUUUUGUGAUUUUUCAUGAGACUAAAAAUUACAAAGUUGUUUAUACAAUAAGUGAAAACUUAUAAGUGCUAUGAUUUUAGACUUUGAAUUUGCAACAUGCAAAGAUAAAUAGUCAUUAUUGGGAUACAUAUUUGUGCUAUUAGUUGGCCAAAUAUUAUGGAAGAGUCCUAAUCAAAAUUUGAAGACUACAUCAACUAUGAUGACAAAAUAUGUUGAAAUAUAUAAUGCAACUUGUCAUCUAGUUUUGUUGAGAAAUUCAAUUAAAAGACUCAUAAUUAUAAAUUCCAUUUUAAAGCUUUUAAAAGAAACUUUAUUGCUAUAAAAUUUCCCCUAUAAUCUUUUCCACUAGCAAUAGUGAAAGUUGAGUGGGGAUUUACCUCAAUACAAAGUACUUGUUCGUAUAAGAGCAAGUGGAGGAGAAUGAUAUUUGUAUCGAGCAUAUCAGUAGUAAUGAUAUGCUAAUGGAUCCAAUUACAAAUGGUCUAGCACCCACAACAUUUCAACAUGUCAUUAGUAUGGAUUUAUGGCUAGACCUAGUAUAAUGUAAUUAUAGCAUAAUGUUUUACUAAAAUUUUUAUUAUUCAAGUACUUGAUCAUUCUUCCACCAUAAUAUGCAAUUUUUCUAUAUUACUAACUUGUGCACACUUACUAUUUAUAUACACAAAUGUAAUGCAUUACCACUUAACAAUAAAGUCAUAUAGCUAAAAUUAAUCGUAAGUUUCAUAUGAAGUACCAAAAUAUAUCAGUCAGGGUCCCAUGUUUAAUAUGGAACGUGAGGCUGUACUUUUCUGCUCUUGGUGUUAAUAUGAAACAAGAUGAAUGUAAUUUGGACAAGAUAAAAGAACAUGUAUACAAAUAAUCACUCGACCAAGUGGGAGAAUGUUGGAGAAUAACCUAUUAAUGUGGUCAUCGUACUAUUUUGUAAUGUUUUUUAUGUGUUGCGUACAAUUAUAAUAUGUAUUGUAACAUUUUCCAUGUGACAUAUCAGGCCCCUAGGAUUAAUUAUAUGUAGUAUGGUGGAUAUGACAUUUGUCCAUAACUCUAGGGACCAAUUAUGUGUGGUUCUAAACUUCUAAUACUUUCCAUAAGGUGUAAAUGAUCAAUUAAAACACACAUGUGAGAGGACGCAUGUGUCAUGGAGAGAAUAUGAUUCUUUAUUUUCCAUUUUCAAAAUCCUCUCUAUAAGAACACCAUUAUCGUGUGUAUUAUUCUAUCCAUCAGAAUAAGACACCAUUAUGUGAAGUGGAAGAAUCAUAAUAUGAAGUUAUUCAUCUUCAACAUCAAAGGAUAUAAUCUUCUCCAAAGACCACUGAGGGUCGAGGCGGACUGACGGGAGGAGGUCCGAGGCUGCUGACGGUCGGGAUGAUGUGAGUUGUCUGACUUAUUGGAAUUAUCGAUCACUUGACUAGUCUUGUGCCCUUGCGUGUGUUAAUAAAGCAAGAUGGUGGAGGAUGAACGGAACAAGGCCACAAGAUUCCAAUAGGCGAGGAAUCAAAAAGCUUUCAACAAUGUUUGUAUCUCUCCGUCUAAAGUUGCUGAAAAUGUGUUGUUUCAGUUUUCAAUUGGGUGAAGCAUAUAAGGAGAUUUGGGAAUUGUAAUUGGGGGGUUUGGUGUUGCAAUCAUUUUGCCAUUAUGUAAUUGUUUUUUUCAUUUCCCUGCUUAGGCGCUUUCUAAGUAGUGGUUAAUAAAUUUCACCGUUUCCAAAAA